rnacentral:rRNA from 1 species
CCUACGGGAGGCAGCAGUGGGGAAUAUUGGUCAAUGGGCGAGAGCCUGAACCAGCCAAGUCGCGUGAAGGAUGACGGCCCUACGGGUUGUAAACUUCUUUUGUCAGGGAGCAAUUGGGUCCACGCGUGGGCUUAGCGAGAGUACCUGAAGAAAAAGCAUCGGCUAACUCCGUGCCAGCAGCCGCGGUAAUACGGAGGAUGCGAGCGUUAUCCGGAUUUAUUGGGUUUAAAGGGUGCGUAGGCGGAAUAUCAAGUCAGCGGUAAAAAUUCGGGGCUCAACCCCGUCGUGCCGUUGAAACUGAUGGUCUUGAGUGGGCGAGAAGUAUGCGGAAUGCGUGGUGUAGCGGUGAAAUGCAUAGAUAUCACGCAGAACUCCGAUUGCGAAGGCAGCAUACCGGCGCCCAACUGACGCUGAAGCACGAAAGCGUGGGUAUCGAACAGGAUUAGAUACCCCAGUAGUC